rnacentral:rRNA from 1 species
UUGAAGAGUUUGAUCAUGGCUCAGAUUGAACGCUGGCGGCAGGCCUAACACAUGCAAGUCGAACGGUAACAGGAAGAAGCUUGCUUCUUUGCUGACGAGUGGCGGACGGGUGAGUAAUGUCUGGGAAACUGCCUGAUGGAGGGGGAUAACUACUGGAAACGGUAGCUAAUACCGCAUAACGUCGCAAGACCAAAGAGGGGGACCUUCGGGCCUCUUGCCAUCGGAUGUGCCCAGAUGGGAUUAGCUAGUAGGUGGGGUAACGGCUCACCUAGGCGACGAUCCCUAGCUGGUCUGAGAGGAUGACCAGCCACACUGGAACUGAGACACGGUCCAGACUCCUACGGGAGGCAGCAGUGGGGAAUAUUGCACAAUGGGCGCAAGCCUGAUGCAGCCAUGCCGCGUGUAUGAAGAAGGCCUUCGGGUUGUAAAGUACUUUCAGCGGGGAGGAAGGGAGUAAAGUUAAUACCUUUGCUCAUUGACGUUACCCGCAGAAGAAGCACCGGCUAACUCCGUGCCAGCAGCCGCGGUAAUACGGAGGGUGCAAGCGUUAAUCGGAAUUACUGGGCGUAAAGCGCACGCAGGCGGUUUGUUAAGUCAGAUGUGAAAUCCCCGGGCUCAACCUGGGAACUGCAUCUGAUACUGGCAAGCUUGAGUCUCGUAGAGGGGGGUAGAAUUCCAGGUGUAGCGGUGAAAUGCGUAGAGAUCUGGAGGAAUACCGGUGGCGAAGGCGGCCCCCUGGACGAAGACUGACGCUCAGGUGCGAAAGCGUGGGGAGCAAACAGGAUUAGAUACCCUAGUAGUCCACGCCGUAAACGAUGUCGACUUGGAGGUUGUGCCCUUGAGGCGUGGCUUCCGGAGCUAACGCGUUAAGUCGACCGCCUGGGGAGUACGGCCGCAAGGUUAAAACUCAAAUGAAUUGACGGGGGCCCGCACAAGCGGUGGAGCAUGUGGUUUAAUUCGAUGCAACGCGAAGAACCUUACCUGGUCUUGACAUCCACGGAAGUUUUCAGAGAUGAGAAUGUGCCUUCGGGAACCGUGAGACAGGUGCUGCAUGGCUGUCGUCAGCUCGUGUUGUGAAAUGUUGGGUUAAGUCCCGCAACGAGCGCAACCCUUAUCCUUUGUUGCCAGCGGUCCGGCCGGGAACUCAAAGGAGACUGCCAGUGAUAAACUGGAGGAAGGUGGGGAUGACGUCAAGUCAUCAUGGCCCUUACGACCAGGGCUACACACGUGCUACAAUGGCGCAUACAAAGAGAAGCGACCUCGCGAGAGCAAGCGGACCUCAUAAAGUGCGUCGUAGUCCGGAUUGGAGUCUGCAACUCGACUCCAUGAAGUCGGAAUCGCUAGUAAUCGUGGAUCAGAAUGCCACGGUGAAUACGUUCCCGGGCCUUGUACACACCGCCCGUCACACCAUGGGAGUGGGUUGCAAAAGAAGUAGGUAGCUUAACCUUCGGGAGGGCGCUUACCACUUUGUGAUUCAUGACUGGGGUGAAGUCGUAACAAGGUAACCGUAGGGGAACCUGCGGUUGGAUCACCUCCUU